rnacentral:lncRNA from 1 species
AUUCUCGGCUGAAGAGUUUGAGACGGCUUUGCUCACUCCCAAUGACACAUUGAGUGAUAUACAUAUGCCUUUGCUAAAGGUUGGUGCUUUUUUAUUUAUUUUUUUCUUCCUUUGGUUUGUUAUUGUGUGCGUACUGCAUUUCUUCUUUCUUCUGUGAAUAUGGGUGAUGACUGAAGUUCUAGACUAUGUCGGUUGUGUUAGUUUUGUGCUUGUUGUUAUUGUUAGGAGUUUGUAGGAUGUUCUUUUGGUGUGCUUUUUUUUUUCUUAAUUUGAGUAAUAUUGCCGUGGUUUUGAUUAUGAUUGUAUGCCUUAAUUAUGAAGUUGUAUUUUCGUGAUAAUGUCGAGUGCCCAUUACCUGGGAACGAGGGAAAUUAAUAGCUGUAAAGUGGAGUUCUUAUUAGUGUAGGGUAUCUGGAGGUUGCUGUGGCUGAAACAGAGACGAGUGUUUUGGGAUUAUAAUUCAAAUGGCCAAGGUCAGAACUUGUUUCAAAAUUUUCCAAGAGUUUGAAUUGAAUCCAAAUGAUGAACUUCAGUAUUAGCCACUACUUAACUGUUGGAAUGACUCUUUAUUCAAUGCGGUGGUUGAAACUCUUUUGAAUGUGGGAAUGGUGGAAGGAACCAAAAACUGAACACUAACGAAUAUAGAUGGAAUUGUGGAAGGAGCCAAAAAUUGAUGGAUUCAUGGUCAUAAUAUGGUUGACCUAUAUGAUGCUGGGAGAUGGACAUGAUUAUUUGCAACUGAGUUGAGUUUGGCAGGAAUUGGUUGGUGCAAACAAGUAAUUGAUUCGAGGCCUUUGUUGCAUGUUGGGAAACCCUUUCUUGAGUGUUAAACUGGGGACUUUUGCUGAUUGUUUGUGCUCUCUGCCCUGAUAUUGGCCCAAUUUGCUUUUGAAGGAUAGUGUUCAAGUGUGCUGCUAUUAAGUUUAGUUUACUUAUUUCUGUUGUUUCUAAGUAUAAGCUUCUAUUCUGCAUCAAAUGGUUACAACUUCCAAAUGUACCUUUGGAUUUUUUUUCCACUGGGUUUCAUCCUUGUUGGUCUUAUCCCUGAUUUUCUGAGUUCAAAUCAAUGUGUCAAAGAUAAUCAUGAUCAUUCUAGCAAGAGGCGGAUGUAUACUUUACUGGAGAGUUUAUAUAGGCGGGCAUCACUACAGAAAUUACUAUAGAAAAGGCCUACUCUGAAGAAUUUUCAGAACUUCUGAGACGAGUUUUUGUUAUACCUAAUUCUUUUGCAAAGUGUUUAUACUUGAACUAUAGCUUCCCUGCAGAUUUAAAUAAUGUGGGAAAAUUAUUCAGUUAAUUGUUUGAGGGUUUAGAUCUUUUAGAUCUGUAUUGAAACUGCCAUUCUGCGAUGAGAAAGUGUUGUUAUAGACAUGGUGCAUGCUAUACUCAUUCAUGAUGUAAUGAGUUUGUGGAUGGAGAUGAAUUGAUUAAAACAGUGUACUUGGACUGUUUUGAAACUUAGAUUUUGGUUUGAGUAAAUAACGACAUAAAUCUGCACAAGUCUGACUUGUAUGUUAGGUACUUAGGUUUUGAGUGAUAAAGAGAUAGUGCGGACUGGGGAGAAUGAAAGCUUAGACUGUUUAAUGUUAUUGGUCACACACUUCCAUAUCUUGCAGAGGUAGUUGAAGUUUUGUACUUUAAGCUGCUGUAGUGCAACGAAUUCUGUCACAAGUUCAAUGCCAUUAUCUCCUUACUUCCAUUUAUCCUUCAUCUAUUGAAUCUAUUGAAUUUUGUCUUUAGUUCCAUUUGUCCUUAAUCUAUUGAAGUGGUUAAUCAAAACAGUGGUGAUACUUGAACUCAUUUAAGUUUUUAAAAUUGGAUUAGAUAUUAUAAUAGCAUUAGUCUUGCUUAUCUCUUUUGUUGGUGGAUAGAUAGAUAUUGUUAACGAGUGAUAAAGUCAAGGGUUUUAAUUCUAGUUGUCUUGCAGUUUGAGAGCUUGUGAGAGUUGUUUGCCAUUGUCUUUUAUAGGGCAUUGAUCCCUCUCAAAAUCUAUUCCUCUGCAAGAUCAAUACUUUCUUCUUUGUACAAUGUCACAAGCUGUCAAAAUUGCUGCUAGUCUGAUAACAUUAAUUGCACCUUUUUUAUAGGCAAUUCCUCCAAUUACACGAAUGGCACUCUCACGUGAUACUUGGAUAACCGUAUUAUGCAGAAAAUUAAGAGAUUGGUGGCACUGGGUAAUAAGAAUAUUUUUUCAGCAAGCUGAAAAUUCUACAUAACAUUUUGUAGUUUCCAGAGCUAAUAUGAAUAGGGAAUUCAAAUGCAGGUUGCGGAUGGGGAUCUUCCUAUUGUUGCUUCACAUGGGUAAGUAAACAGUUAAUCUUGCAACAUCAAAAAUCCACUUUAUGUGUUUACUGAGUCUCAUGUUAUGUUGACGUGACAGAGCGGAGAUUGAAGUAUAUAAAUCACUUGAUCCAGGGGUUCGUGUGGUCAUCUUAAAAGCAUUAUGUGACAUUCGUGUUGAGGUACCCUUGCCCAGUUAAUGUCUAUGUAUAUAUCUAUAUUUCUUAUAUACUUUUCCUUGAAUGGGUGAAAGUUAGUAUGGAAGAACGAGGCCACUUUCCUUUCUUUUAGGUUGGAUCUCUGAAAACUAUGCGAUUCAUGUUUAGAACUGAAUUAACUUCUACUAUGAUAUAUGCAAGUGAUUUAUCUGUCAUUCACUAUUUUUGUUUGCCUCGUUUUGUGUUCAAGUUGCAACCACCCAUUUUAGGUUUAUUUUAUUCUAUCUGUUAUAUUGAGUGGUUCUCUGGGCUUGUCUAUUAACAAGGGUGUGAUAAUUUGCCUCAAUAGUUUCUUUUAAUAACAUUCACAAAGAUUCCUGGAGAUGCAUGACCAUGCACUAUUUUAGUUAGCCAAUGGCUAAUGUGUCUAACUAGGUCACCCUAUUAUGCAAUAACUUUCUUUGGGGUUCUUUUAUUUUGCCGGGGGAAGGGGGGGAGGUAGUGGUUGGAGCAGUGUAAAAGGUAUUUAAAUUCCCAAGAUCAAAACUUGCCAAGUGCACAGAUUCAGGGGCAAAUCAUUUAUAGCCUGACUCAUAAAUCUUACUUUUGAUCAUCCCUCUUGAUAGUGUACAUGAUUAAACUUGACUUGUAUUUUGCAGCAAGAAGAUAUCAGGAGUUACAUUGACAGCUCAAUCAAGCAUGGCAUUCCACUUUCAACAUUUCGCAAGGACCGUAUUGGUGGCGAUUCACAUGGAGUUUCUUAUUGGUAAUAUUCAUGUGCUUUGACUUCAAUCUGUUCGAAGUUUGAAGUGUCAUACUGGAAAGUUAAUGCACAUUUAUCUCUUUUUUUCUUUUUAUUCACAUGGCAUUUAUUAUUGCAGGUAUGAAGAUGACCAAAAUAUUGGUCAGAGGUUGUACCGGGAGAUAAGGAAAACUGAGGUGGUUCAAACGAAGAAAGGGAAACCAAGAGGUUCCCAGGUUUUUUCUAAUACAACCUACCAGUGGGAAACAGUUGCUACCAAUUUUGAUGAAUUUCUGGAUGUUUCUGUAAGUUAUUCAAACUCAUCUAUCUAUGCUUAGUGGGCAUGUUUUAACGAGUGUGCAGUGUUUUUCUGGGAGUUGGGACUUUUGACUUAUAGAUUUUGAACUAGAUAAUGGAUCACUUAAUAUAUUAAUCAGUAAAUUAAUGUGAUGUAUAUUUGGAGUCACAAGAGACUAAUUUUAUUUUGAUUUAGAAACCCUAACUAAAGUUCCAAGUGAACCUAUCAAAUAGGAAACUGUUAUUUUGUAGAAAAUUCAUAGUUAGUUAUAGUCCUUGAAUGAAACCAUUAGAUUUCACCAAUUGUUAAUAAAACCUAAUAACUGUAGGGGAAAAAAUCUACAGCGAAAGGGGCAGUAGGAAAUCAGAGUGGACAUGGUAUCCAGAAAAAAAUUGGCACCAUUGAACAGUGAGUCCACUGGGAUGACUUGGAUUCAAAUUAGGCUCUAAAUACCAUGUAGAGAGAAAUGGUAUAUAUUUAUCUUGUGAUAGGAUUGUGUGUAGUGGAACAUAUAUACAUGUCAUACAUAGCAUUACGUAGGGAUGGGCCAAGCCCAUAUACACUAUAUCUACCAAUAACAAAAUCAGAACAUUGGUUGUUACAAUUCUACUAUACAUUACAACAUUAUUAUACUUUUCAAAUUUCAUUCCUUGCCAUUUCAUAUGACUGCUACUAAAAAGAACAAUCUUUUCCGAAAUAUCAAUAAGUGCUAGAAAGCAAUCUCAGCCACUAUAUGCAUGAAGAAAAUACAAUGCAACAAAGAACUUAAAGUGGUCAGAGGGUGCCUUAAGCCACCAUAAUUAUUAAGUCCCUUCUAUUUAUAAUAAAAAUUAGUUAACGUUGUUGGCCAGAAUGAGGUCUUCAUCAGUGUUGGAACCAGGCAGAUCAAAUUAGCUGUAGUAAUCAGUUGUUUUCUCAAUUGUCUUGUUCAAAAUCCAUUGAUCUACCCUUUGACUAAUAUCAUUUUACAGUUAAAUUAUAAACUUUUGGAAUUCUGAUAUAACAACUAAGCCUUUUGCCACUAAUUGGGAUUGGCUGCCCUACUUGAAUCCUUUGGUUUACAUCUCCCUCGAUUGCUAUGCCUUUUUUCUUUGACAGACCUAAGAAUGCAGAUAUAUUUUUGUUAUAGAAGAUAGGAUUGACCGUUAGUUUUUUUUUUUCAAAGGGAAAUAUUAUAAAAUAACCUAAUUCUGCCAAUUUUCAUGAAGUUUGCAACUUUUUUUUUUUGUUUAGCUUCAUCUUAUUUGCUUUUACUCAUCUGAUUGCCCAGGAGAAGCUUUUCACAAGUAAAAACAGAACGGAGGUUUCUGUGGGGAAGAAGGUGAAGAUAGACAUGCUUCCUGAAAUUGAGAAGGUUCACAAGGUACUAUAUCUGUGUUUGCUUACUCUACCCUAUCCUCCUCUCAGUGGGUUUAGAAAAUUGAAAAAUUGGGCACUUUGACUUGAAUUCAUGUUUGCUCUUAGAUUUAUCUUCAUAUAUGGUCCUUGAAGAACCCUAUUGUGCUUUUAACUGACAAAAUUAGUCUGGCAUGGGUUGAGAAGAUGUAGCAUUCUAGGAUUUGAACUUCAAUUCAUGUUUGCUCUUCUUUUUAUCUUGAUAAAUGGUUCAUAAAGAAUCCUGUUGUACUUUUAACUGACAAAUUGGCCUGUCUUGUGCAGAGAAAGGAGAGAUUGAUGAAAAAACAACACAGACAAGCUCUUCUUCUUGAUAAUUUCUUAGGUGUUGAUGGGCUUGCUCUAGGGCGUUCACUACGUGAUAGGAAACCUGUUACCUACACUUUUGGUAAGAAGUUUCAUCAUUGUUUGCAUUUUGUUUUCACAGCUGGAGUUGGCCUAGUCAUUUUCCUCAUUUUUUUCUUUAUAUGGACUGCUGAGGUUUAUUAGACAGCUCAAUAAUUUUACAGUUGGAUUGUUGUAUGUUAGGACCCUAGGUACCUUCUGGGGCAAGUAGCCUGAAUCCGGGUUUUAAAUAGUGUGCUUUAGCACUGCUACAGUAGCAACAAGUGGGACUGCUGUAGUGGCCAUAGCAGACAAAAUAGAAGGCUGAAUCUAUGUGAUGGUUCCAAAAAAUCCUUCUGAGUAGAGACGUUUGCUAUUUAAAACAUUGUUGGCCUUGAAUAUUGUGAAGGAUAUCUAUUCUAUUCUUAGGGAAUGUAUGGUUAGUAGAAUUAAAAACCUUUCCCUGCUUGGACCAAGGGGGCUGCUGGUUAGUACAGGGAUAAUUUAUUGGGACUUUCUGAUAUCUGACAUUGGUUUUGGGAUUUCCGUUGGAUCUGAUAAAAGUUCCAUUGGAUUUUUUCAUAACUACUUGGUAAGCCUUAAUAAUUUUCAUACAUCCACAUCUUUUAAUUAAAAAAGUAACAUUAUCACUAAGUUUUGUUGCAAUUUUACCCUGCAUUGAUGAUAGCGGAAUCUGGACACUGAUAGUUUCACAGUUUCAUUGUGCAUCCAGGAUGUAACUUUACCUCAGCUUCCUGUUUAGCUUUAAUUAUGACAAAAAUUCUCCUGAACUAGAUAAUUUUUGAUUUGGUUGGACAAAAGUAAACUCAUUUCUUGAGUGUCAGUAUUUGAGGCUUUAAAUUGACCUAACUUGACAUUGCUGUCAUUGCAGAUGAUUAUGAUCGGUCCAUCAACGAGGCAAUUAAGAUAACCAAGUACGGAUUUUGCAUUUUGAUCUUACAUUCUUGUACCACUAUUUGGUUGUUCUAGAUAUGUAUGUAAUUUUUUGUUGUUGCAUAUAUUGAGAGAACAGGAGCCAGUCAUAUGCAUUUGUCAUGCUUUGUACUCAUGACAUUUUUUCUGUUUCUUAUAUCAGACGGAAGCCACCGUCCCCAGAAGCUAUACCGAGAAGAGAACCAGGAUCAAAACCCGAAGCUUUAUCCAAUGGUAAAUGGAGUGGUCCUUCCCCUUCACAUGACCCUCAAGAACUAAAUUUUGGCAUGCUGUCUCCAAAAUCACCAGACUUCGAUGAUAUGGAGGAAGAUAAUCAAACUGACAUACUGGACUUGGAUAGAAGGUUUGUGGUUCUGAUUUUAUCCCUUCAAAUAUGUUCUGAUGACUUCUAUAUCUUACUUCACUGAUAACUUUUAUUUCACAUCAGCAAUCGACGAAGACAGAGGCCUAAACGGUAUUCAGAGAAAGAGUUUGUUGAAGCAUUGUCAGAUAAUGAGGCUGACUAUGACAGUGAUGAUGAUAUUGUGGGAGAAGCAGUGUAUUCUGAAGAGUAUCUUCAGAAACGCAAGCAGAGAAGGAAGGCUUCUAGUAGCUCUGGUUCUGAAGGAGAUGAAGAAUAUAAUUGGAAUGAAGAUAAUAUUGAAGAUGAAGAAGAAGACGAUGAAGAAGAUUCCAUGAGUGUCAGUGAGGAGAGUGACAAGCCCCGUAAAUUCAAGCGACUGGCAGGCCGAACUAGAAGGGAAACUAAACUCAGGUCUGUGGGUGAGAUUCAAUCAGGUCUAAGACGCAGUAAGAGGGCAACACAAAAACGUAUAAAUUACCGGCAAUUAGAGAUGUCUGAUUCAGAAACCGAGUUCGUUAAACCUGACAAGUCUAAUGCAAAUGCAUCAGAUGAUCACUCAGAUCCUUCUGAGAAUGGAGAUUAUUUGAUGGAAACUGAAGACUCAGAUGGCAAUGACGAUGAAGAACAAGAAAUCAAAGAUGUGGAGCCUGUUACUUACCCUGCAGAAGGGAACAACGAAUAUCCUGCUGUAGAGGAGAAUGAACAAAGCAAAAUCCAGCCUCCUGAAAAAUCUAGUAGUCCAGGCCAGGAGGAAGUUGAAGGCACCACAAAGCGACGCUUCCUUGAUUUGAAUGAGCUUGCCCCUAGCUCAGGUUUUGAUGAUGCUCCAAAUACAACAACCAAAGAUGAAGGCAAUGAUGAUUUGUGAAGGUACCUCUUUUUUCUUGAAAGCAAUGAUGGUAGUUUGCUAUCAAGGAAACCAAGUGACAUGUAUGAUAAUAGAACUAUAAAUUUUGUUAUGUGCCUCAAAGGGAAGUUAAGGGUAGAUCUCUUCCUGUGGCAACCUAAGCAGCCCUUGGUGCAUGAUUUUCCACCAGAAGCAGCAGCAUGAUACUGAGUUGUGUAGAUUAGGUAGUCAUUUUUUAGUAUUUAGUAUUUCUACUUCAAAGGGUCUACGGAAGUGAAUGAGAAUUUGUUGGGCGUUAUUUGGCCCAUCCAAUCCAAUCGGUGUACAAUAACUGUUAACAAGUACUGUAACUUUAAAUAGAUAUAUGGCUUUUGAUUAUCAAGCCCUGUAGUUCUAUUUUUUUCUUUUACUCAUGGACUCUUAGUCAUCAGCUUUUCAGCAGAUAAAAAUGGUCCCACUUUUUAUUUCUCUACGUAAUUACUAACCCUUUUGUUCUUAAUUUGUCUGUUCUGGCAUCCAAAAUAGAAGUUUUGAUUGCUAGUUUGCCUCAUAAUCUACGAUUUUAAAAGCUGGCAACUAAUUCAAACCAUUAAGAUUAAUAGCGUGGAAAGAAGAUUUUAGGACAAAAUUAAGUUCAUACUUUUUUUCUAUUUGAAAUUUCAACUCUUUCCGUUUGAAGUUAUAUGAAAUACAGUUGUACAGUGUAUUCUUUGUAAACGAAAACAGGGGAGUUCUGUUCUGACUUGAUUUUAGUCUUAAGUUUCUGUUCUUCUAUCUUUCUGUUCCUGUACCACUUCCCAUGCCUUUCCAUUAGGAUGGAAUAAAGAAUCAAAAUUUUAAUAUUUUUAAUUUUUUGAAAAAUAUGACCCAAAAUGAAUUUUUUUUUAAAAUUCAAAUUUAUACGUUAUAUUUUUAAAGAUGUAUUGCAAAAUUGAUUUUUAGAUUACUUUAUAUAUAACACUUUAAAAAAAUUAUAUUAGAGCAUAAGCAUUCCAAAAUAUUUUAAAUUUAUUAAGGGAAAGCUCAAUAAACGCAUAAUAAACACUUGGACAUUUUCCCUUACAAAUCCAAAGUAUUCGUCAACCUCCCAUUUUCAACUCUAAUGUUUUAUUGAAAGGAGGGGCGUAAGUUGAACGAGAUCAAAAAACGUAAAAUUUAUCUUACAAGCUUCUGAAAUCCUUAAGAAUAAAUUCUGAUUAGAAUGUUGAAGACUAAAGGAAAGUCUAUUUAUAAAAAAAUUAAACCUUAGGGUUAUUCUCAUAUUUAUUUAAAAAUUUUAAUUUGGUCUUUCAUUUAAAGGUUUAAUAUCUAUUUUGUUCCCUCUUUUUGGGGGGUUUGAUCAAAGUGGUCCUCCCUUUUUUAAAAAGUUCAAUAAGGUCCUACUUUUUGAAAAAACUGUGCAAGUUAGUUCUUUUUGCUAACGGCGUUAAUUCUGCUAACGGCAGAGCUGCCAGCUGGCAAAUAUUUGAUGACUUGUACAAAUAAAAUUCGUUUUAGUCCUCAUAUUGGUUUAAAAAUGUUCAUUGUGAUCCUUGUAUUGGUUUAAAAAUGUUUAUUGUGGUCCCGUUUUACUAAAAAGGAAAAUCAUCCUUAGAGACAGUAAGCAGCUUCACAAAUUUGUCAAUGGAUGCUCUUGUGGAAAGUUUUGUGGUUUUCUAAGAAAACAACAACUAAAAUUUCAUGUGUUACAAUCCAAAACUGAUGCGUUCUUUUUUCACAUCUCCAUACUUACUAAUGUAACACGUGAAACUACACUAUUAAGCUUCAAAUUAUUGUGAUUAUACUUUCCCAAAAGGUUAGCGCAUGAAUUACUACAUCACGUGUGAAAUCUUUAACAUGUAUUAAAACGGGACCACAAUAAACAUUUUUAAACCAAUACAAGGACCACAAUGAACAUUUUUAAACCAAUAUGAGGACUAAAACGAAUUUUAUUUGUACAAGUCAUCAAAUAUUUGCCAGCUGGCAGCUCUGCCGUUAGCAGAAUUAACGCCGUUAGCAAAAAGGACUCACUUGCACAGUUUUUGCAAAAAGUAGGAGCUUAUUGAACUUUUUAAAAAAGGGAGGACCAAUUUGAACAAACCCCCCAAAAAGAGGGACCAAAAUAGGUAUUAAACCUCAUUUAAAAACUUAACAGUGUCUUAAAUUUUAUAAAUUAGUAACAAUUAAGUCUUUACCAUUAAGUAGAAACCUAGGUGUAUAUUAGACAUGCUAUCUGGACUAUUUUAUUACAUAGAAAUAGAAUUUAAAUUUUGUUGUGGUAAAUUUGUAUGUAAAAAUGACAACGAGUCAGGUUGAACAUGAAUAGUAUUUACUCGUUACUCAAUCUAUAAUAAUAAAAAUUCAUUUGUUUUAUUAUUUGUUAGAUAAUUAUUUAAAGAAUAUCUAGAAAUAUUUUAAAACUUACGGAUAUUUACAAAUAUUUUAAAUUUUUUAGAAUAAAAUUAAAAAAAAUAUAAUAUAAAUUAAAUUAAAUAUAAAUUAAAAUUUAAUUUUAAUUAAAUUUAACCUAAUAAGUUUUUUAUUUUUAUUUUUUAUAGGUAAAAAUACCUUAUGUCAGGAUUUACAUAGGAGAUGAAUGACAUUGCAUUCAAACACUUCUUUGUAAUAUAAUUAAGAUGGAAAUAAAAAUAACAAUGAAAAAUUGAAUUGGAAGAAAACCAAACAAAAAUCAUAUUGAUCAAAUCUUCAUGAAAAAGUUAUAAAAGAAAAUUUGUACAUCACAUAUAAAGUGCUCAUGAUAUAUAAAAGAAAAUUAUGUUUUAGCAAGCAAUAUUUUCUAUUUUGAUAUUAAAAUGUGUAUUGUUUUCAGAAAAAAAAAAAGUGUAGACCUUUUAAUGUGAAAAAUGUGAUUUACCUAGCAAGUUAAGAUAUGAUUCUGAGAAUUAAUAGUCAAGUUUGUUGAAGACAGAGGGAAAAUUAAUUUGCUAAAAAAAAAUUCAACACACUAGUAAAAAAAGAUAAAAUGAAAUUAUGAGUAUAUAAAUGAAUAUGAGAAUUGAUACUAAAAAUAUUAUCAUAAUGGACUUGGGUUAAAACAUUAAUGUCGUACCUCAAAUAUAACACAUACUUUUAUUUUAUCAACUUGAAAUUUUGUGAAUAUUUGACUCAAUCCAAAUUUAUAUUUUAAUAUUUAUAAAUUUAGUAAUGUAUUUAUUAAUAACUUGUAUAAAUUUAUUAAUACAAUAUUAUUAUGUUAAAAAUUUAAUAAUAAGUUGUAUAAAAUUAUUAUUAAAGUUAUACAUAUAUCUUUUUAGUUAAAUAUUUACUAUAUUUUCGUUAUUUAUUCAAAAAAAAAAAUACCUUUUUUAAGAAAGAUAAUUUAAUUAUUUUUUUUUAAAUUUAACCGAAUUAACUUACAAUUCAAAUAAUCUAAUUAAUUCGAUAAAUUAAAUGGUUAUAUAUAAAUUUUAAAAUAUUAAAUUUGAAUUAUAAUGUAGUCGAAUUCCAUCAAUCCGAGUUGACAGUCUCUCAUAGAUGUUUUUCUUGUUGGAAUGUCAUCACCCGUUUACAUUUACUAAUUAUACAUUUACUAUUGCUCUAGAACUUUGUAAUAAUACUAUGUCUUGUAAUCAUCAACUCUGAUUUAUUAAAUAUAAAUUUUUCUUGUGAUGUGUAUAUAUUUAUUAAAAAUCCUAUAAUUAACAUCGUAUAUGAGAAGAAUAAUACGAACAAGAGAUUUAUGAAUAAAAUACUUAAAUUUUCAAGAAAAGUUUUGCAAUAUAUUAUGAAGAAUCCAAUUGUGAUGAAUCGAACAAAAAGAAAAUCUGAAUUUCACGUUUAUAAGAAAAUUGUAUAAUAUAAAAAAACUAUAAAUUUAUUAAUUUAAAAUUUUACACAAAAAAAUAAUAUUAUAAUUUUUAUAUGAAUUAAUGAUAAGAAAAGGAUAAGAAAUGUGAAAUACUAUGUUUUAAGAUCAUUCCUCGACCUGUGCAAAUACAAGAAACUGUUUUUAAUAAAUUAAUGAAUUAUUCUGGAUUAUAAAAAUUCAGUGAAGAAUUAAAAAAAAAAAAAUCAUUGACCAGGUUCACACGACUAAGAAUGUGUGUAACCAUCAUUCGUGUGCGCAAACAAACUUUACUAAGAUCAAAAUUCUAUCUAUUAUGAAAAGUAGUUAAUAACUUUUCUCCGUCACUUUCAAAAUAAGUUACUAUAAUAUAUAUUAAUCACAAUUCGAAUUCAAACUUCAAACAAGUAUACCUAUUUGAUUUUUGUUUUUAUAUGCAGUUUACUUUUUGAUUUUACAAAUUUAUUCAAUUUUCAUUCCAAUGUCAUACAUUUUUGUACUGCAUCACAUCUAAAAUAAAAAAAUUACAAAGAAUUAAAAACUAAAGGAUCAAAAUUUAGUUAAGAAUUAUUCAAUAACUAAAAUUGUGAGUGAGAAAAUAGGCAACUUCGGAGGCAAACCAGGUUAAAUUAGUGGUGGAGUGGAAAGUUGAAAACAAAAAUAGACUGAGGGCAGGCAAAAAGCACCAGCUUGGUGUAAUAAUUGAUCUAUAUUUUCUAUCCCUCAAAUGAUUUUACAGAACUUGUAAGAUCAUCAUCAUCAUCAUCAUGAUCCAAAAGAAUUGAGGACCCCAAAAAGGGUACGAAAAGAGAACAAGAAAACCAAUAAUAUUAUAAACUGAGAAUAAAAAAGGCCAUUUUAUACAGGGCGAUGUUUAACUAACCAAGCUCCAGAGUUAUAUACAAUAUUCGAGAUGGUAUAUGGCUUCACUUCAAAACUUGUUUUCUCUGUCCUUCUAAUGGAAUCAAAGAUCAGAACCUAUGUCUCUUUUGUCAUCUGAUGUCACAGCACUGAGGCCUUGUCUGCCUUUGCAGUUUAUCCCACAGACACAUCAUCUGCCUAGGCGAUUGGUAAUGGGCUGUGUAAUACUCUUCUAUGCAACCAAAUUGGCAGAAGUUCAAGCUAUGAGAAUACUGUACAGUUUUUGACCGGUUAAAUUGCUCUACCCACAUUCCCAUACUCACAUCUUCCAUCUUAAACAACUGCAUAAAGACCAAAUCACACAUUCAGCCAGAGUUUCAAAUCAAAGGAAGAACACAGAAAAAUGCGCAAUAUAAAUAAUGUUUACUAACCCUUAGUUUAUGCAUUUCAAAUUCAGAUACAAUAUAUCGUGCAAUAUCUGAUGACAAAAUAUAACCCGGGCCAUUAGCAUAGGGUGGGUAAUCCUCUUCUGGCCAUUCCUGAAAAAAAAAAAACCAUCAAUAUUUUAACACAGUUCAUAAAUUCACACAGCCGACAGAGGGUGCAACUGCAAUUUGGAACUAUGAAAACAGGGUAACUUCAGGCUUUCUUUGGAUUAAAAUAGACAUUACUAAAAUAAGCAUUAUUUCAAGAGUAUUCUCAUUCAGAAUUUAACGUUUGAACAAAAGCAUUGCGAUGGAUGCUGAUUACUUACUUCAUAUGUCACUGCCCAUUUCCCAUAUCGCAAGGGUUUAUGAUAGUAAUUUAUGUUACCGAUAUAAAAACUGGUAUCAUCUGGAACCUUCCUUGCUUCACGAAUAACAGCAUCCACUCUAACAAAAGUAUCAUCAUCCCCUUUCAUGAUAUACUUAGCAGAAACCGUAUGAACCUGUGAACAAUAAACCACAUCUUAUAUUCCAUAAAAAAAUCUUAAAUAUCACUCGAAAAUUGGUACUUCAUAGCAUGAUUAUAGUUAAUCGAUAACUCACCCCAUAUUCACAUAUGGCCACUGUUUUCAAGACAACAAGAUCAUAGUUAUCUAAGUAGGGCACUAUAACAAUAUCACCAAAAAAUUCUGCUUCCUUCUUCAACUCUACAUUAAUUUCCUGUCUUGCAUGCUGCCAAGAUUUCAAUAAAAUAGUAAGAAACGCCAGCUGAACAUCAGAAACGAAAUAACAACUGCCAAAACAAAAACCAACCAGUGCAACAAAGAAUCGAGCAACCACUGCUCCAGAUUUGACAAGCCUAUGCUGCAUCCAUGACUUCCUCACAGCCAUCCGCUCAGAAAAAUGGUUUCCGGCUGAGAGGAUACCAACGAACAAUUCUACGCCAGAGUUGGGAAUUGACUGGGCACGCCACCUGGUGGAAAAUUCAAGAUGCCGCUGUGGGGAAAAACUGGGAUGCGAUGAAGGCAAAGACGCUGCAAAUACAGAGUGAACAUCAAUGUCUCCAGCCAAAGAAAGCCCAGUGGCAUCCUCAAGUGUAAAACCCUGCCAAAAUCAAAAUGCAAAAUCGAGUGAUCAAGCAAAUCAAUCUUCAAGUCAAGGUAGUUAACUUCAAGGGGAUGGAUAUAUCACUUACAGCACGAUAAGGAAAAGAUGCUACAUGUCUCCCAUCAACGGUAACAUGAUACCCCUCCAACCCAGCACUAAUAGUAAGAACAAAAAGCUUCCCCUCAGAAAAUGGGAAUGGCCAGUCAACGUUUACUUUCUUGGUGCGCCCUAUAAGUCUUUUCAACCACCACGUCGACUUAGACUCCUCUAAGUGGUGUUCAUCAUCUCUAAUCCACUUCUCGCACUUCACCAUCCUAUCAACUGCACCCAAUGCAAGCAAUAACUCAAUUUAAUUCAGCCAACCACAACCAGACACAAGCAGCCUCACCACACAAAAUGGAACAUCACAAAUUUCUUUAAGAAAAUUACACUUUCAAUUGGGCAGAAAAUCAGACAUCUAAUGAAUCAUCUUUGGAUGACAUUUGUGGUUGAAUAACGUUAAAAAAAAGAUCAUUACGUUCUAAACCGUUUCUCCAAUCACAAGAAGGAAAAAAAAAAAAAAAUAUUCAGAAAAAAAAAAAUCAAAGCAAAGAUCAAAGAGUACCAUAUAACUGAGAACACAUUAAAAUGACUAGUAAACUUCCACAUCAUAAAAUAGUUCCUAAUGAACCAAUUUCCAAAUUAAUUACGUGAAAUCAAAUUUCUAAACAGGCAAAAAAAGUAUCUGAUUUCAGUUUCGAAACUUACCGGUAUCAUCAUCGGCCUUGGAUUUCCAACCGUCGCACCUGAGAGCGGAACCCCAUUGCAUGCGAUAACAUGUGUUGAGUUCAAUCACAGGUUUCCCACUCCAAUCCCCCUUCAACCUCGGAUUGAAGUGAAAAACCCUAGGAGGCUCUUCACCGUCCACCGUCUUCAGCCCCUGCAACUCCACCACGAACUGUGACACCAUCACCGGUUCAUUCUCCUUCACAACCGCUAUACUCGGCUCGAAAUCCGGCCGUGCCGCCAACGGCUUCCCAACGAUCGUCACGUGUGACCCCAAUGUGAGCCCACAAGGCAGCGGCACGACGCCCAAUGCGUCCUUACCUGACAGAGAAACCGAACCGGGACAAGAACUGGACCGGUUCUCGGGCUUCGACACAACGGUCCGCAAAUUUCCAGAUUCAAGGUCCGCCCAGAGUCUCCGUCCCAUCUGGCGCGCAUGCUUUACGAGCUUGUAGAGCUCCAAGGACCCGUCGUUGCCAUUGGAUUCGAACACGGCGUCGUUCAGGACCAGCCCCGAAAUCACGCUGCGGCGAGCGAGUUGACUCGGCGAGUCAGCGUUGGAAACCGUUUUGAAAGGACGCGCGGGGGACUCCUUGAGUAGCGAGUCCUCCUCGCUGAGGAGCUUGUGAGUGCGCGUGGCGACGGUGGUUAAGUCGGCUUUGAAAACGAGAGGGAUUUCGAGUGUGACGAGUACGAGGUAGAAGAAAAAGGCAGCAAUUAGAAACUGAAUCGAUCGUUUUCGUGUUAACAUAAACAACGUUUGAAGGUUUCGCUUCAUGUUGCUCUGUUUUGCGAAGAUUCUUCAAACGCUGUUUCUCUCUCCCCUCAGUUAUGGAGAAGAGAACAGAGACGUGAGAGAAGGAGGAGGUGACCGACUUUAUGGAAUAAUAGAAAAAUGCAAAAAAUUAAAUAAGAAACGGCAACGGUUUGAAGUUUUGAAAGGAAAAUUAGGAAAAUAAUAAUAUUGGAAUUGAAAUUUCGUUGAAGUGGCCGAGCCUGGCCCACUCAGCAUUAAACUUUCUUGCCAACGGAUCCUUUUGCUUUUCUGUCACAUUACACGAAUUUUUCUUUAUAUCAUUAAUUAAUGAACAAAUGGAAAUUAUUUUUAGUGUGUAAAUCAUCUGUUUAAUCAAAAUUUUAAAACUGAAAAUUAGAUUAAAAAAUCCUAAACACGGAGUAUUCUAUAAUUUUAAACUUACUUCAACAUUAAUUAAUAACUAUUAAGAUAUCAGAAUAAUUACAUCGACUACUUUCAGUUAUAUUUCUAAAAUACUAUUCAGUUACAAUAAUAUGAUUAUAUAUCAUUGACUUAGAACUGAAAGUUACACUUAAGUUGGAAUAAGUUAAAUGAAUUAAUUUCAAUUUUAUCCUUUUAUUUUACUUUAAUUAAUAACUUAAACUAAUCAAUCCUGUGUGUAUAUUAAUCCUCUCUCUCUACAUGUAUUCCAAUUUAUUGUAAUUAUUUCUUCUUUAUAUUAACAUAUUAAAAACAAAGAUAUAAGAUAAAAAAAAAAGUAAAAUAACUUUUACAUUUCAUGAAAUUAUACAUCUAUUAUUCUUCAUUGACUUUUCUUAAGACAAUUAUUAUGUUUAAAAUAUUGCAAUNNNNNNNNNNNNNNNNNNNNNNNNNNNNNNNNNNNNNNNNNNNNNNNNNNNNNNNNNNNNNNNNNNNNNNNNNNNNNNNNNNNNNNNNNNNNNNNNNNNNNNNNNNNNNNNNNNNNNNNNNNNNNNNNNNNNNNNNNNNNNNNNNNNNNNNNNNNNNNNNNNNNNNNNNNNNNNNNNNNNNNNNNNNNNNNNNNNNNNNNNNNNNNNNNNNNNNNNNNNNNNNNNNNNNNNNNNNNNNNNNNNNNNNNNNNNNNNNNNNNNNNNNNNNNNNNNNNNNNNNNNNNNNNNNNNNNNNNNNNNNNNNNNNNNNNNNNNNNNNNNNNNNNNNNNNNNNNNNNNNNNNNNNNNNNNNNNNNNNNNNNNNNNNNNNNNNNNNNNNNNNNNNUUCUUCAUUGACUUUUCUUAAGACAAUUAUUAUGUUUAAAAUAUUGCAAUUUUAAAUAUAAUUAAGUGUAAAUAUUAAUUUGAAAUAUAUAUUCAAAAUAAUGAAAUUUGUAUUAUACAUUAUUUAAAUAAUUUAUAAUUUAAUAUUAUCUUUUAAGAAUUAAUUAGUUUUUAGAAAUAUAUUUUUCUGGUUAAUAUUUAAUGGAGUAUUGGGAUAAUUGAUUAUUACUUUAUUUAGAUCUUCCGUUAGUAUAAACAUAAAGUGAAAAAUAAUUUAUUUAGAUAGAGAUUCAAAAGUUGUUAGAAAGAUAUUUCACAAUUGAAAAUAAUUUGCAAAAGGAAAUAUGUAUAUUAAUUAAAAUAAAUUUUUAUUAUUAUUGUUAUAUUGUCAUAUGAUUAUUAUUCCAAUAACGUGAUGAAAAAUAAGAGAUAAUUUUUUCCAAUAUCUGUUACAUAAUAAUAAAGAUAAAUAGUUAAAAAAUUGUUUUUAGUAUAAUAAAAGAAUCACAUAUCUAAUAUUUUUCUAUUUCAUUUAAUAAAUUUUAUUAAUAAUUAUGGUAAUUGAAUUUUUUAUCAUAAUUAUACGAGUUUAUUAAAAAGAAAUUAAUGUUAAUAACUAACAUAUAAGAAUUUUUCUUUUUCUUUUGUUAUGAAUGAAAUAUAUAUUUUUAAAACAUAUUAUUUUUUUAGAAACCAUUUUUCUAUAGUUCUCUAUAGUAUUGAUUUUUUCGACGAGUCUUUUAAUUUGGACCGAUUAGUUUCUUCAUUCAUAUAAGUUGAGUUUCAACUCCUUUUCUUGGUCUUUUCUUAUUAUCUGUUGAAUGUGAGUCUUCUUUCACUUGCAUUCGUCUUUCUAGUCAUCUAUGUGAGUAUUUUCUUAUUAGUGAUUUUAAUAGUUGUCCUUAUCGUGUUUAUAUUGUUCCUAGAUUCUAUGAGCAGGAAGGGAUUUGGGAUUCUUUAAAGCAAGCUCACAUGUCCCUCAAGUAAGGGAAGUUAAUUGCACUACUUUUAAAUUAUAGAUACUUUGAAAUUUUUGCAUACAUGAUUGUAUGGUGGUGAAUUGACUGAUGAUUGAUGUGUUGGUAUGUAUGAUAUGUUGAAAUUGUGGUUUGAAUGGUUGAUCCUUGAAUCUUACUCGUUUGGACUUGGUUUUGUGAGUUUACGAGAUUUAUAAUCUGGACAAUUGGUCAAGUGAUACAAGUUUGCAUGUUUAAAGUUGUUUUGGAACUAAUUCACUAAGAAAGGAAUACCAUUUUGAUCAAUUGAAUAAGUAUAAGUUCCCUCAAAAAUACAAAAUACAAGAAUUGAUAGUUGGUAUAACACCGAGAGGUGCUAGGGUGUCACUCAGUGCCCAAUUUUAUGAAUAGUUUAGCAUUGAGCGGUACUAAGGUAUCACUGAGUGUCAUUCUUGUAUUGCAGGUCUUGAGCAUUUUCACUCUAAGAAACUAAGCGUUAGAAAGUGUCACUGAGCGCACUAUUUUGCGAGAAGAGUGACGUUGAGUGUCAUGACUAACAUUGGGUACCACUUUUUGUGAGAGGUCUGGCGUUAGACACCACCUAUGAGCGUCAUUAUGUAUGUUUGAAUUUAUUUUCUUUUUUAACUAUUUGAGAUAGAUUUAUAAUGGAGUUUAUGUAUGUUUAUGAGUAUUAUGAUGACUUAUUAAGAUGAUGAUAAUUUUUUGGAUAUGCAUGGUGAUGAUGUUGAAAGAAUUUCAAGGAGAAUUAUUUGUGAUGAUAAUAUUAAUGUAUGCAUUGACAUAUGUGAAUCAGAAAGGAGGUAUCCUGAACUCUAAUAACUAUUCAGACUCAAAUAUAAUAGAAUGAAUUAUGUGGUAAUAAUCGUAGAACGUUCUAGUAUAUGGAAAAUGUUUGGUCCGAGGUGCGAAAGGGAACUACCUUUGUAGUGGUAGGGUAAUAACUCAUUGUUUAUGACUCUGCAAAGUAUAAAUACUAUUGCAAGUGCACACUUAUGGGUAGAGAUGACAACGGGUCAGAUCGAGUACAAAUAGUGUCUACCCGCUACUCGACCCGCAACAAAGCUACCCACUCGCUACUUAUAUGAAUAUUCGUUUAAAAAUUCUCGCAAGUAUUUUAAAACUUGUAAGUACCCCAUGGAUACACAUAAAUAUAUUUAAAAAAUAUAUUUCAUAAAUUUUAGAAAUAAAAUUUAAAAUAAAAUUACAAAAAUAUAUAUAAAAUAUAAUAUAAAUUAAUUUUCAUUUGAAUUAAAUUUAACCAAAUAAAAUAUAAAUUAAUUUUAAUUCAAUUUAAAUUAAUAAACCAUAAAUUAAAUUUUAAUUUUAAUUUUUUACAGAUAAUGAAUUCCUACAAGUACGGAUAGUAUAAUAUCCGCACUCGACCCAUUUAUAAGCAGAUAUUAAAAUACUCACUACACGUGAGUAUCAACUAAUCAUUGUGGAUUUUAUCUGUGGAUACUCGCGAACACGAGUAUUUUUGUCAUCCUUACCUAGGGGGAAGCCCUAUGUUAAAGACAUAUAUCCGAAUAAUUGAGUCUCUUUUUAUACAUUAGUUUAUCCUUUCUUUUAUGUUGUUUUGUAUCUAUGUUUCUUAACUUAUGAUCACCUUAGCCGUGUGAGUAAAUGAAUGAUAAAUGUUAAUGCACCUUUGAUGGAAGGUGGUGAUGAUAUGAAGUAAUGUUUUUUCGAUUUGUAAUAAUUUUGAUAUAUAUAUUUUAUUCUUAUAAUAAUUUACUUUUUGAAUAUAAGUGUAUUAGUUCUAUAUACAUAUUGAGAUAAUAUCUUUUAUUUUAUUAAAUAAUGUCUUAUUUUAUUAGUUACAAACUGUUAAAAAAAUUUAAUAUACUUAGAUGAAAAACGUUAUAUUAAUUUUUAAGUUUAGAAAUAAAAUGUAAAAAGUCUCAUGAACAAGGACCAAUUUCACGUCAAAAUUAAUGAAAGAAAAGAAAAGCUAAUACAUUAAAUUUAGUUUUAGUAAAUAAAUAUAAUAAUUGUUAAAAAUCAAACACAUUUUAUUACUUCAAUAACAAUGUUUAAAAAAUUUAAUAGAAAUAAAAAAUUUGUUCUAAUAUUUUUAUUUUUAUUUUCUCAUUAUAAAAUAAUUUUUUUUCUUCUAAUAAAUAAUUUUUUUCUUAUUAUAUUAAAAACAAAAUAUUUAAAUAUUUGUCAUAUUAAACCACUUAUUUACUUUAUUAAUAAUAAAGAGGAGAGAGAAGACAAUAAAGAAUACAAUAAAUGUAGUACACAUAUUUCAAGAGAUAGAAUACUUUUUCUAUAUAUUAAUGUGCACUUAUGACUCUUUAAUUCGAGUUCAUAAUCUAAAUUAGAAUAAAAGAUUGAUAGUAAGAGAAAUUCAUUUCAAUUAUUUAAAUGGACUCCAACUCUUUAUUAUAACAUCUAUAUUCUUAUAUAAAAUUACACAUAAUUUCAUAACUUAUAUUAAUUUGAUAACUUUACUAUUUACUAAAUGUCAAUUUAUUUUUUAUUAAAAAAAUAAGUAAUUGAAUACUUUUUAUUUUUAAAUAAAUAAAUGAUUUCUAUUUUUGAAAAUAAUCAUCACAUAAUUUGUUAAUAUUAUUUUUACAAAAUUAUACAUAUAUUUUAAAUUGUAUUAUUCUCAUGUUCCUUUUAUAUUUUAUCAGUAUUAUAGUUUAUUCCUUUAGUUCAUCUUUUAAUUUGAAAGUUUUAAUCUAAACAAAUAAAUAAUUAUUUAUUAACUAAAUAUAAUAAGUAAUUAUUCAAGUUUAUCUCAAAAUAAUUAAAUAUAUUGUAAUAAUCCAUAAGAAUAAUCUUUUUAUAAGUGAUAGUAAGACUUAUAUUAUAAGACACAAAUAUUUUAAUGUUAAAAGUUGAAAAAUAUAAGUAGAAGUUUUAUAAGAUAAGUUUUAUUAUUUCAAGUCACAUAUUCUUUUUAAAAACAAUUUUUUUAGAGUUCUUUCUUAUUUUUAGGUAUUUUACCUAUUGAAUCAUCUAUUUGAAGAUCAGAGGGUGCAAAGUGAUCUGCAAAAUCAUAUAGUCUAGUUGAACAAUUUUUACAAAAGAAUAUGUUAGUUUCUAUUCUUUCUUUCUAGUUUUCACAUUUUUCAAUCAUGUGAGUGGUUUUCCUUUGCAUGCAUCAUCUAAGCUUUCUGUAAGAACCCAUUGCGAUUGGGUAUAAACAUCCACCUUAUUUUUUAAAUUGUAGUAGGGUUGCUAACUCAAUGGUAGAGUACUCGGCUUUUAAGAACAACUCUAUUUUUUACAAAUUUCUAUGAAGCAAUCGAUUCGUCGAUACUAUCGGUAGAACUUGUAAAACCACGACUGGUCCAGAAAGGAAUGACUGGAAAAAGUAGCAUGUCGUAUCAAUGAAGAAUUCUAAAAAUAUUUCAUUCUUAUAGGAUCCAACUCAAAUUUUUGUUUGAAUUUUUGGCUCGUAACAAACAAAAUUCAGUUGGGUUUGAUUAAUAAAGGGAUAGAACUUGGUGGUUCUAAUUCUAAUAGGAAAACCAAAAGCAUCGAGCUUUUGUUUUUUUUUUUAUUUGGAUCAUUACCCCAUCUAAUUGUACGUUAAAAAUAGGUUAGUGCUUGAUGUGGGAAAAGC